GCGGACGUGGCGGAAUGGCAGACGCGCUAGACUUAGGAUCUAGUGCCGCAAGGCGUAAGGGUUCAAGUCCCUUCGUCCGCA
rnacentral:tRNA from 8 species